rnacentral:rRNA from 1 species
UAAGGCUGAUGGCGACCGGCGCACGGGUGAGUAACACGUAUCCAACCUGCCGUCUACUCUUGGCCAGCCUUCUGAAAGGAAGAUUAAUCCAGGAUGGCAUCAUGAGUUCACAUGUCCGCAUGAUUAAAGGUAUUUUCCGGUUGACGAUGGGGAUGCGUUCCAUUAGAUAGUAGGCGGGGUAACGGCCCACCUAGUCAACGAUGGAUAGGGGUUCUGAGAGGAAGGUCCCCCACAUUGGAACUGAGACACGGUCCAAACUCCUACGGGAGGCAGCAGUGAGGAAUAUUGGUCAAUGGGCGAUGGCCUGAACCAGCCAAGUAGCGUGAAGGAUGACUGCCCUAUGGGUUGUAAACUUCUUUUAUAAAGGAAUAAAGUCGGGUAUGCAUACCCGUUUGCAUGUACUUUAUGAAUAAGGAUCGGCUAACUCCGUGCCAGCAGCCGCGGUAAUACGGAGGAUCCGAGCGUUAUCCGGAUUUAUUGGGUUUAAAGGGAGCGUAGAUGGAUGUUUAAGUCAGUUGUGAAAGUUUGCGGCUCAACCGUAAAAUUGCAGUUGAUACUGGAUGUCUUGAGUGCAGUUGAGGCAGGCGGAAUUCGUGGUGUAGCGGUGAAAUGCUUAGAUAUCACGAAGAACUCCGAUUGCGAAGGCAGCCUGCUAAGCUGCAACUGACAUUGAGGCUCGAAAGU